UUAAGCGACUAAGCGUACACGGUGGAUGCCCUGGCAGUCAGAGGCGAUGAAGGACGUGCUAAUCUGCGAUAAGCGUCGGUAAGGUGAUAUGAACCGUUAUAACCGGCGAUUUCCGAAUGGGGAAACCCAGUGUGUUUCGACACACUAUCAUUAACUGAAUCCAUAGGUUAAUGAGGCGAACCGGGGGAACUGAAACAUCUAAGUACCCCGAGGAAAAGAAAUCAACCGAGAUUCCCCCAGUAGCGGCGAGCGAACGGGGAGCAGCCCAGAGCCUGAAUCAGUAUGUGUGUUAGUGGAAGCGUCUGGAAAGGCGCGCGAUACAGGGUGACAGCCCCGUACACAAAAAUGCACAUGCUGUGAGCUCGAUGAGUAGGGCGGGACACGUGGUAUCCUGUCUGAAUAUGGGGGGACCAUCCUCCAAGGCUAAAUACUCCUGACUGACCGAUAGUGAACCAGUACCGUGAGGGAAAGGCGAAAAGAACCCCGGCGAGGGGAGUGAAAAAGAACCUGAAACCGUGUACGUACAAGCAGUGGGAGCACGCUUAGGCGUGUGACUGCGUACCUUUUGUAUAAUGGGUCAGCGACUUAUAUUCUGUAGCAAGGUUAACCGAAUAGGGGAGCCGAAGGGAAACCGAGUCUUAACUGGGCGUUAAGUUGCAGGGUAUAGACCCGAAACCCGGUGAUCUAGCCAUGGGCAGGUUGAAGGUUGGGUAACACUAACUGGAGGACCGAACCGACUAAUGUUGAAAAAUUAGCGGAUGACUUGUGGCUGGGGGUGAAAGGCCAAUCAAACCGGGAGAUAGCUGGUUCUCCCCGAAAGCUAUUUAGGUAGCGCCUCGUGAAUUCAUCUCCGGGGGUAGAGCACUGUUUCGGCAAGGGGGUCAUCCCGACUUACCAACCCGAUGCAAACUGCGAAUACCGGAGAAUGUUAUCACGGGAGACACACGGCGGGUGCUAACGUCCGUCGUGAAGAGGGAAACAACCCAGACCGCCAGCUAAGGUCCCAAAGUCAUGGUUAAGUGGGAAACGAUGUGGGAAGGCCCAGACAGCCAGGAUGUUGGCUUAGAAGCAGCCAUCAUUUAAAGAAAGCGUAAUAGCUCACUGGUCGAGUCGGCCUGCGCGGAAGAUGUAACGGGGCUAAACCAUGCACCGAAGCUGCGGCAGCGACGCUGAUGCGUUGUUGGGUAGGGGAGCGUUCUGUAAGCCUGNNNNNNGAAGGUGUGCUGUGAGGCAUGCUGGAGGUAUCAGAAGUGCGAAUGCUGACAUAAGUAACGAUAAAGCGGGUGAAAAGCCCGCUCGCCGGAAGACCAAGGGUUCCUGUCCAACGUUAAUCGGGGCAGGGUGAGUCGACCCCUAAGGCGAGGCCGAAAGGCGUAGUCGAUGGGAAACAGGUUAAUAUUCCUGUACUUGGUGUUACUGCGAAGGGGGGACGGAGAAGGCUAUGUUGGCCGGGCGACGGUUGUCCCGGUUUAAGCGUGUAGGCUGGUUUUCCAGGCAAAUCCGGAAAAUCAAGGCUGAGGCGUGAUGACGAGGCACUACGGUGCUGAAGCAACAAAUGCCCUGCUUCCAGGAAAAGCCUCUAAGCAUCAGGUAACAUCAAAUCGUACCCCAAACCGACACAGGUGGUCAGGUAGAGAAUACCAAGGCGCUUGAGAGAACUCGGGUGAAGGAACUAGGCAAAAUGGUGCCGUAACUUCGGGAGAAGGCACGCUGAUAUGUAGGUGAAGUCCCUCGCGGAUGGAGCUGAAAUCAGUCGAAGAUACCAGCUGGCUGCAACUGUUUAUUAAAAACACAGCACUGUGCAAACACGAAAGUGGACGUAUACGGUGUGACGCCUGCCCGGUGCCGGAAGGUUAAUUGAUGGGGUUAGCGCAAGCGAAGCUCUUGAUCGAAGCCCCGGUAAACGGCGGCCGUAACUAUAACGGUCCUAAGGUAGCGAAAUUCCUUGUCGGGUAAGUUCCGACCUGCACGAAUGGCGUAAUGAUGGCCAGGCUGUCUCCACCCGAGACUCAGUGAAAUUGAACUCGCUGUGAAGAUGCAGUGUACCCGCGGCAAGACGGAAAGACCCCGUGAACCUUUACUAUAGCUUGACACUGAACAUUGAGCCUUGAUGUGUAGGAUAGGUGGGAGGCUUUGAAGUGUGGACGCCAGUCUGCAUGGAGCCGACCUUGAAAUACCACCCUUUAAUGUUUGAUGUUCUAACGUUGACCCGUAAUCCGGGUUGCGGACAGUGUCUGGUGGGUAGUUUGACUGGGGCGGUCUCCUCCUAAAGAGUAACGGAGGAGCACGAAGGUUGGCUAAUCCUGGUCGGACAUCAGGAGGUUAGUGCAAUGGCAUAAGCCAGCUUGACUGCGAGCGUGACGGCGCGAGCAGGUGCGAAAGCAGGUCAUAGUGAUCCGGUGGUUCUGAAUGGAAGGGCCAUCGCUCAACGGAUAAAAGGUACUCCGGGGAUAACAGGCUGAUACCGCCCAAGAGUUCAUAUCGACGGCGGUGUUUGGCACCUCGAUGUCGGCUCAUCACAUCCUGGGGCUGAAGUAGGUCCCAAGGGUAUGGCUGUUCGCCAUUUAAAGUGGUACGCGAGCUGGGUUUAGAACGUCGUGAGACAGUUCGGUCCCUAUCUGCCGUGGGCGCUGGAGAACUGAGGGGGGCUGCUCCUAGUACGAGAGGACCGGAGUGGACGCAUCACUGGUGUUCGGGUUGUCAUGCCAAUGGCACUGCCCGGUAGCUAAAUGCGGAAGAGAUAAGUGCUGAAAGCAUCUAAGCACGAAACUUGCCCCGAGAUGAGUUCUCCCUGACUCCUUGAGAGUCCUGAAGGAACGUUGAAGACGACGACGUUGAUAGGCCGGGUGUGUAAGCGCAGCGAUGCGUUGAGCUAACCGGUACUAAUGAACCGUGAGGCUUAACCUU
rnacentral:rRNA from 1 species